rnacentral:rRNA from 1 species
CCGUCUAUAUACGUAUAGCAUAUCAAUAAGCGGAGGAAAAGAAACUAACUAGGAUUCCCUCAGUAACGGCGAGUGAAGCGGGAAGAGCUCAAAUUUGAAAUCUUCAAGGUUCUACCUUGACGAAUUGUAGUUUAAAGAAGUGUUUUCUGUUGGAGUUUUGGUAAAAGUUCUUUGGAAUAGGACAUCAUAGAGGGUGAGAAUCCCGUAUUUGACCAUUAUUUCCAACUUUGUGAUACACUUUCAAAGAGUCGGAUUGUUUGGGAAUGCAGUCCAAAAUGGGUGGUAAAUUUCAUCUAAAGCUAAAUACUGGCGAGAGACCGAUAGCGAACAAGUACCGUGAGGGAAAGAUGAAAAGAACUUUGAAAAGAGAGUUAAACAGUACGUGAAAUUGUCAAAAGGGAAGCGUUUGACACCAGUGUUGUUUUCUCGAAAAUCAAUUAAAAAUGGUGGGAUUCUGUGUUGUAUUGACUUUAUCAGCUUUCUGCACUUUUUUCCUAUCUUUUUUAAUGCACUUUUCGUUUAACAAGUCAACAUCAAUUUCUUUUGUUGUAAAAGGGUCAUUGGAAGGUGGCUUUCUUUUCGGAGAAAGUGUUUAUAGCCUUUGAGCUUCUGCAAUCGGAGAGAUUGAGGUCUGCAGCGUAGAUCCUUCGGGGUUAGAUACAUUUGUGCUAAGCUAUAGCCUUUCAUAGACAACUUGUUGACUAUGAUCAGUCAUGUAGCUUACUCGCUUAUGCUAUUUUACCUACGCUUAGGAUGUUGACGAUCAGCUGAGCGCG